rnacentral:rRNA from 1 species
UACAGAGGGUGUGAGCGUUAAUCGGAAUUACUGGGCGUAAAGCGUGCGUAGACAGUUAUUUAAGUCGGAUGUGAAAGCCCCGGGCUCAACCUGGGAAUUGCAUUCGAGACUGAAUAGCUAGGGUACGGUAGAGGGAAGUGGAAUUUCCGGUGUAGUGGUGAAAUGCGUAGAUAUCGUAAGGAAGACCAGUGGCGAAGGCGGGUCUCUGGACAGUUCCUGACGCUGAGGCACGAAGGCCAGGGGAGCAAACGGG